rnacentral:lncRNA from 1 species
CUCUCUUCCUAAGGCCAUCACCUUGAGGUUGUGAUUCAACAAAUGAAUUUUUUGGGAACACAGACUUUCAGAGCAAAGCACACGAUAAAGGUCACAGAUUAUGCACAGUAAAGCAAACUGCAGUGCUGGGAAAUUAUGAUAUUUAAGGGGUUUAAAGUUUAAUGCAGACAACAAAUGUGUCACUUUGCUUGGAUACUGUUGUGCUGAGCUAGGGAGGCAAGAAGGUCCCAGGUGGCCACAGUGCAGCCUUGCCUGCAUGGUUGAGUG